rnacentral:rRNA from 1 species
GACGAACGCUGGCGGCGUGCCUAACACAUGCAAGUCGAGCGAUGAAGUUUCCUUCGGGAAACGGAUUAGCGGCGGACGGGUGAGUAACACGUGGGUAACCUGCCUUGUAGAGGGGAAUAGCCUUCCGAAAGGAAGAUUAAUACCGCAUAAUAUUGUACUUUCGCAUGAAAGAACAAUUAAAGGAGCAAUCCGCUACAAGAUGGACCCGCGGCGCAUUAGCUAGUUGGUAAGGUAAUGGCUUACCAAGGCGACGAUGCGUAGCCGACCUGAGAGGGUGAUCGGCCACAUUGGGACUGAGACACGGCCCAGACUCCUACGGGAGGCAGCAGUGGGGAAUAUUGCACAAUGGGGGAAACCCUGAUGCAGCAACGCCGCGUGAGUGAUGACGGUCUUCGGAUUGUAAAGCUCUGUCUUUKGGGACGAUAAU